rnacentral:rRNA from 1 species
GACGAACGCUGGCGGCGUGCUUAACACAUGCAAGUCGAACGAUGAAGAAGAGAAACGCGAACUUCGGUUCAAAUUUCACUUCGGAUUAGUGGCAGACGGGUGAGUAACGCGUGAGCAACCUACCUCUUACAAAGGGAUAGCCUCGGGAAACCGUGAUUAAUACCAUAUGACACAUUCAUAAGGCAUCUUAAGAAUGUUAAAGCUACGGCGGUAAGAGAUGGGCUCGCGUCCCAUUAGCUAGUUGGUGAGGUAACGGCCCACCAAGGCGACGAUGGGUAACCGGCCUGAGAGGGUGAACCGUCACAUUGGAACUGAGACACGGUCCAAACUCCUACGGGAGGCAGCAGUGGGGAAUAUUGCACAAUGGAGGGAACUCUGAUGCAGCGACGCCGCGUGAGCGAUGAAGGAAUUCGUUUCGUAAAGCUCUGUUCUAUGGGAAGAAAAGGACUGUACCAUAGGAGAAAGCCCCGGCUAACUACGUG